AGAGUUUGAUCCUGGCUCAGAACGAACGCUGGCGGCAGGCUUAACACAUGCAAGUUGAACGGGAUUUGUGUGGUGCUUGCACCAUAUAAUGAGAGUAGCGCACUGGUGAGUAACACGUGGGAACGUGCCUUUUAGUGGGGGAUAACAUCUGGAAACGGAUGCUAAUACCGCAUACGCCCUGAGGGGGAAAGAUUUAUUGCUAAGAGGUCGGCCCGCGGUAGAUUAGGCAGUUGGUGGGGUAAAGGCCUACCAAACCUACGAUCUAUAGCUGGUCUGAGAGGACGAUCAGCCACAUUGGAACUGAGACACGGUCCAGACUCCUACGGGAGGCAGCAGUGAGGAAUAUUGGGCAAUGGAGGCAACUCUGACCCAGCCAUGCCGCGUGAGUGAGAAGGUUUUCGAAUUGUAAAGCUCUUUCGGGUGUGAAGAUGAUGACGGUAACACCAGAAGAAGCCCCGGCAAACUUCGUGCCAGCAGCCGCGGUAAUACGAAGGGGGCAAGCGUUGUUCGGAAUUACUGGGCGUAAAGGGUGUGUAGGCGGAUUUGUAAGAUAGUGGUGAAAUACCUGAGCUCAACUUAGGAAUUGCCAUUAUAACUAUAGAUCUGGAGUGACAGAGAGGAUAUUGGAAUACCCAGUGUAGAGGUGAAAUUCGUAGAUAUUGGGUAGAACACCAGUGGCGAAGGCGAGUAUCUGGCUGUCAACUGACGCUGAGGCACGAAAGCAUGGGGAUCAAACAGGAUUAGAUACCCUGGUAGUCCAUGCUGUAAACGAUGAAUGCUAGUUGUUGGAGGAAUUCAGUGACGCAGUUAACACAAUAAGCAUUCCGCCUGGGGAGUACGGUCGCAAGAUUAAAACUCAAAGGAAUUGACGGGGACCCG
rnacentral:rRNA from 1 species